UACGUAGGUCCCGAGCGUUGUCCGGAUUUAUUGGGCGUAAAGCGAGCGCAGGCGGUUAGAUAAGUCUGAAGUUAAAGGCUGUGGCUUAACCAUAGUACGCUUUGGAAACUGUUUAACUUGAGUGCAAGAGGGGAGAGUGGAAUUCCAUGUGUAGCGGUGAAAUGCGUAGAUAUAUGGAGGAACACCGGUGGCGAAAGCGGCUCUCUGGCUUGUAACUGACGCUGAGGCUCGGAAAGCGUGGGGAGCAACAGGAUUAGAUACCCGUAGUCC
rnacentral:rRNA from 1 species